rnacentral:rRNA from 1 species
CGGAAUAGCCUCGGGAAACUGAGAGUAAUACCGUAUAAGCCCUUCGGGGGAAAGAUUUAUCGGGAAAGGAUUGGCCCGCGUUAGAUUAGAUAGUUGGUGGGGUAAUGGCCUACCAAGUCUACGAUCUAUAGCUGGUUUUAGAGGAUGAUCAGCAACACUGGGACUGAGACACGGCCCAGACUCCUACGGGAGGCAGCAGUGGGGAAUCUUAGACAAUGGGCGCAAGCCUGAUCUAGCCAUGCCGCGUGUGUGAUGAAGGUCUUAGGAUCGUAAAGCACUUUCGCCAGGGAUGAUAAUGACAGUACCUGGUAAAGAAACCCCGGCUAACUCCGUGCCAGCAGCCGCGGUAAUACGGAGGGGGUUAGCGUUGUUCGGAAUUACUGGGCGUAAAGCGUACGUAGGCGGAUCAGAAAGUUAGGGGUGAAAUCCCGAGGCUCAACCUCGGAACUGCCUCUAAAACUCCUGGUCUUGAGUUCGAGAGAGGUGAGUGGAAUUCCAAGUGUAGAGGUGAAAUUCGUAGAUAUUUGGAGGAACACCAGUGGCGAAGGCGGCUCACUGGCUCGAUACUGACGCUGAGGUACGAAAGUGUGGGGAGCAAACAGGAUUAGAUACCCUGGUAGUCCACACCGUAAACGAUGAAUGCCAGUCGUCGGGCAGUAUACUGUUCGGUGACACACCUAACGGAUAAGCU